rnacentral:misc_RNA from 1 species
UACGCGAGCCCCAAGCGUUACCCGGAAUCAUUGGGCGUAAAGGGUCCGUAGGGGGACUUAUUAGUCCCGUGUUAAAUCCAGAGGCUCAACCUCUGGUCUGCGCGGGAAACGGUAAGUCUAGAGGGCGUGAGAGGCCAGUAGAACGCACGGUGUAGGGGUGAAAUCCGUUGAUAUCGUGCGGAAUACCAAAGGCGAAGGCAACUGGCUGGCGCGACCCUGACCCUCAGGGACGAAAGCUAGGGUAGCGAACAGG